CGACGCCGCGUGCGGGAUGAAGGCCUUCGGGUUGUAAACCGCUUCACCAGGGAAGGAUCCAAGACGGUACCUGGGGAAGAAGCGCCCGGCUAACUACGUGC
rnacentral:rRNA from 1 species